rnacentral:rRNA from 1 species
GACGAACGCUGGCGGCGUGCUUAACACAUGCAAGUCGAACGGAAAGGCCCUGCUUUUGUGGGGUGCUCGAGUGGCGAACGGGUGAGUGACACGUGAGUAACCUGCCCUUGACUUUGGGAUAACUUCAGGAGACUGGGGCUAAUACCGGAUAGGAGCUCCUGCUGCAUGGUGGGGGUUGGAAAGUGUCGGCGGUUGGGGAUGGACUCGCGGGUUAUCAGCUAGUUGGUGGGGUAGUGGCUGACGAAGGCUUUGACGGGUAGCCGGCCUGAGAGGGUGACCGGCGACAUGGGGACUGCGGUACGGCCCAGACGGCUACGGGAGGCAGCAGUGGGGAACAUUGCACAACGGGCGGAAGCCUGAUGCAGCAACGCCGCGUGCGGGAUGACGGCUUUCGGGUGGUAAACCGCUUUCGCCUGUGCCGAAGCGUGAGUGACGGUAAUGGGUAAAGAAGCACCGGCUAACUACGUG